UGUUCGGUGAAAUAGGUUAUGUCUAUGGAAGGUGCCGUUUUAUUUAUUCUUUACGAGUAAACGUAAACUUUUUCAAUUGUGCAUACGGAAAUCGUGUAAAUACAAAUGACAGUUCAAGACAUGGAUAUUUGUUUAAACAUUUCAUCGGGUCCAGAUGAUUUACAGCCGAAAUGGAAAGCUCAAGGAAAGGAGAAGUCCUUAAAGAAUAUAAAAAAGAAAUCGAAAAAUAAACUGUUAGCAAAAAGAGGUAAACCAAGCGUGAGUAAAACUGUGCCACAAAAUGUUUCCAAUGAACAGAUCAGUGGCAAGAAAAGAAUCAAACAGAAAUCACUGGGUGAAAUUGUAGCCAGGAAAUUGAGGACAGUCAAUAGUGGCAAGAAUGUUGAAUUAUCAAAGAUUAAGUCCAGUAUGGUUUCAAGAAAUGACAGGGUUAAACUUGCCGAGACCUUACCCGAGUCGAAGACAGGUGGAUCGUGCGAUACCACUGCGUCCAAUGUUAUAAAUCAGAAUUUAGAUAAAUCGAUAGUUUCUUUUACUAAGCCAACGAAAGAGAAUUUUGUUAAACCACUUUUAGUAAGGAAACAAAAUGUUGCGGGGACAAAUGAAAAGAAAUCGCUAUCUGAUAUCUUUUCUAAGGAAUCUUCGCCAAAGGACAACAAUUCAGGUCUAUUAGAUUUAAAACGAAUGUUUGACAAAGUUGCAACUGAUCCACAGAUUACAAAACAAAAAUUAAAACAUUCAGAGAAAAUAUUUUUGAAAAGUGAUUUGGGAAAAUUGGAAUCAAACAAUCCCAAGCAGAUUGUAAAUAGGAAAAUUUUUAAUAGAGGCGAAGAUAACAAUGGUAGGACUAGGAAAAAAAAUAUGAGAGAGAAUAAGGCAGGAAAACAGGACACAGAAAGUACUAAACCACAUUGGUCAAAAGGAAAGGCCUCAUAUUUAUUUAGUAAUAAUCCUGAGAUACCAAUUAUCGGUCAGAGAUUUGUUAAACCAGUAAAUGAACAAGUUUUUACUGGACAGAAAUUCAGUGAUCUGGAUGUUCAUGCCUUUAUGGUAUCAAAUCUUGAACAAAAUAUGCAAAUAACAAAAAUGACAACGGUACAGCAGAAAGCAAUUCCUGAAAUUUUAGCAGGUAAAGACGUCCUGGUCAGGUCGCAAACAGGUUCGGGGAAAACGUUAGCUUACGCCGUACCAGUAGUCGAGUCGUUGCAUAAAAUUAGACCAAAGUUGUUAAGAAGCGAUGGUCUUAUGACUCUUGUUGUCGUACCUACUAGAGAAUUAGCCCUGCAGACUUACGAGUGCUUUCUGAAACUCAUAAAACCAUUCACAUGGAUCGUGCCUGGGUAUUUAGUUGGUGGAGAAAAAAGGAAAGCAGAGAAGGCACGACUUAGGCGUGGAUGUACAAUUUUAGUAGCGACUCCUGGUAGGUUAUUAGAUCAUAUAAAACACACCGAGGCUUUAAAAUUAGAUACCGUUAAAUGUUUAAUCCUCGACGAGGCUGACAGAAUGCUUGACAUGGGAUACGAAAAAGAUAUUGCAGGUAUUGUCACUGCACUGAAUGUGUCUAGUAACGACAGUAAAAAUUCGAACUACGAUCCAUUGCAAAUUCUUCACGAUGGUGUACAUAAAUUGGAUAGUAAUAAAAGUUUAAAGUUGGAUGUCGAUGCAGACGAAAGUACUAACGCAACCGAACCCGAAGAUGAAGAAAGUAACAGGGAACCAGGAAGUAUUUUGAGAAUACAGAAAAAGAAUUAUCAUUCUGAUACGGACAGUGAUUCGGAAGAAGACAAUCAUUCCUCUGAGGAAACAUCAAAAACAGAAACAAAAACCAAGGAGAGUUGCAAAGCAGAUGAAAAUAUAAACAAUCCUAACCUCUCCACAAGGCAGACCAUUUUGUUAUCGGCAACGUUAACUCAGGCUGUCGAAAAGCUGGCAGGUCUUACGACAAGGCAUCCAGUGUUAGUUGAUGCUGCCGAGGAGAAUUUGAGAAACGUCGAUGGGAAUCUAAAUGAAAUUAAUGAAGAUUUAAUCGUCCCCCAAAGUGUUGUCCAAAAUUAUAUCGUGACCCCACCAAAACUAAGAAUGGUCACAUUAAGUGCUUGCAUUGCUGGAAUAUGUCAGCGCCCUGGGCAACACAAGACAAUAAUUUUCAUGGCGACUCAGGACAUGGUAGACUAUUAUACAGAUAUUCUAUCCUCCGUACUUGGCACAUCCCUCGAAGAAUAUGAUACGGAUCCCCUUGUCGAUGCAGAGUUUUUCAAAUUACAUGGCAACAUGACUCAAAAGGAGAGAACAGAAGUAUUCAACACAUUCCGAAAAGCCAAAAGUGGGGUGCUUCUCUGUACGGAUGUGGCAGCUAGGGGUUUGGACCUGCCGAAAGUGGACAGCGUCAUCCAGUACACGGGUCCGACUUCGGCCAGAGAUUACGUGCAUAGGAUAGGAAGAACGGCGCGGGCGGGAUCAUCGGGAUCAGCUACCAUUUUUCUAACUCCCCCGGAAGUCCAGUUUGUUCGGAUGUUGGAGUCUAGGAGGAUAAGGAUCAAGCAGCGAGACAUGGACGAGGCGUUGAACAGUUUGGUGGGUCCCACGUCGCGGUGCAGUUCCGCCCAAGCUGCUGCCACGGCGCUGCAGAACGCAUUCGAGGCCAGCGUCCUGAAAAAUAAGAAACUUCGGGAAAAGGCUUGCAAAGCGUACGUAUCCUGGGUGCGCUUCUACGCGAGCUACCCUAAGGACAUGCGGGAAGUCUUCAACCGCAAGGACCUCCACCUGGGACACUUCGCCAAGAGCUUCGCCCUGAGGGACCCGCCGCAGCGGAUCGGCGCGAUCGGCAGGACUCUGAGAGAAGCCGAACCCGGGAAACGACACGACAACAGGUUCUCGAAUGUCGAGGAAAAGACGAACGAGCGACCGCGGAAGAGACAAGAUGGCGGCGGCGCGCAGAGGCCGGGACUCUUGAAGCGCGUCAGGAUGCUCAAUACCUCGGAAUAUGGAAGCGGUUUAGAACCCGUCAAGAAACCGCGCAAGAUUUGAUCGAUUCUUAGGUGCAUCCGGGGAGCCGAUUUUUAAGUUCAUAUCCUGUUAAUAAAAAAUAUGAUAAUUAUAUAACAUUUUUGUUGGAAGUUUUAUUCAGACAUGACAUACAAAUUUGACAUUUGUUCCGGGCACGUUCGAGGACGAUUAUAGAGAGAUCUUAAACGCUGAAAAAAAUCUUAUUGCAAUUAUCGGGGUAGCGAACCCCGAAAAUUCACGGGAAAGUAGCAGGUACGUUGUCCACGCUGCUACCGAAGUCCUCUACUGAUUGUAAUAAUUUUUAAAAAUAUUAUUUAAAUAUUUCUCGGACUCAAGAAUGUCGCUACAAUGCUUCUCCGCCAGUA